rnacentral:rRNA from 1 species
AAGCCAACUCUAGCCCUACCACAACCAUAACAUAACAACAAAACCCCACUCAGUACAUAAACUAAAACAUUCUAUAAACCUAGUAUAGGAGAUAGAAAAGUAACCAUAAGGCGCCAUAGAGAUCUCGUACCGUAAGGGAAAGAUGAAAUACUAGUGAAAACCAAAGCAACAAGUAGCAAAGAUUACCCCUUGUACCUUUUGCAUCAUGAUUUAGCAAGAACACCCAAGCAAAGUGCCCUUAAGUCUGCCCCCCCGAAACUCAAGCGAGCUACUUGCAAGCAGCUACCAUGAGCGAACCCGUCUCUGUUGCAAAAGAGUGGGAUGACUUGCCAGUAGAGGUGAAAAGCCUAACGAGCUGAGUGAUAGCUGGUUGUCCACAAAACGGGUUUAAGCCCCCCCUUGACUACUCCGAAUGGAGAACAAAUAAACCCUAAAUGUAGAACUCAAGAGUAAUUUAAAGGGGGUACAGCCCCUUUAAAAAAGAACUCAACCUUACCUAGUGGAUAAGCCAACCCUACAUUCAACCUGUGGGCCCUCAAGCAGCCACCAACAAAGAGUGCGUCAAAGCUCGCAACCCAAAAAAUAUGAAAACACUACGAAUCCCUUAAUGCUAGUGGACUAACCUAUGCCUAUAGGAGCAUUAAUGCUAGAAUGAGUAAUUUGGGAUUUUUCCCUCUAGGCGCAAGCUUACACAACAAUUAACAGACCUGAUACAUCCAACCCAUGACCAAGUAUUAAACCCACUGUUGACCCCACACCGGAGCGCCCAUAAGAAAGAUUUAAACCUGCAAAAGGAACUAGGCAAACUACAGGCCCGACUGUUUACCAAAAACAUAGCCUUCAGCAAAACAAGUAUUGAAGGUGAUGCCUGCCCAGUGACAUCACGUUUAACGGCCGCAGUAUCCUAACUGUGCGAAGGUAGCGCAAUCAAUUGUCCCAUAAAUCGGGACUUGUAUGAACGGCUAAACGAGGUCUUAACUGUCUCUUGCAGGUAAUCAAUGAAAUUGAUCUCCUCGUGCAAAAGCGAGGAUGAGCCCAUAAGACGAGAAGACCCUGUGGAACUUAAAGAUCAGGGGCCACCUGACACCAACUACAACCUACUAGGAAUACCAAUUUACCCACGCUGGCUCCCAUCUUUUGGUUGGGGUGACCUUGGAGAAAAAUAAAACCUCCAAACACAGGAUCAAAAAUCCUUACUAAGAGCAACCCCUCAACGUACUACAAAGCAACCAGACCCAAUACAAUUGAUCAAUGGACCAAGCUACCCCAGGGAUAACAGCGCAAUCCCCCUCAAGAGCCCAUAUCGACAGGGGGGUUUACGACCUCGAUGUUGGAUCAGGACACCCUAAUGGUGCAGCCGCUAUUAAGGGUUCGUUUGUUCAACGAUUAAUAGUCCUACGUGAUCUGAGUUCAGACCGGAGUAAUCCAGGUCGGUUUCUAUCUAUGCAUGUAUUUUUCCCAGUACGAAAGGACCGGAAAAAUAGGGCCAACACUACUAAGCGCGCCCUCCCCCCAAGCAAUGAAACCAACUAAACUACCUAAAGGGGCCAAACUCACUCCAACACAUCCUAUAAAAGGAC